rnacentral:rRNA from 1 species
GACGAACGCUGGCGGCGUGCUUAACACAUGCAAGUCGAACGGUGAAGCUCCAGCUUGCUGGAGUGGAUCAGUGGCGAACGGGUGAGUAACACGUGAGCAACCUGCCCCUGACUCUGGAAUAAGCGCUGGAAACGGCGUCUAAUACUGGAUACGAGAAGGGUCUGCAUGGGCACUUUCUGGAAAGUUUUUCGGUUGGGGAUGGGCUCGCGGCCUAUCAGCUUGUUGGUGAGGUAAUGGCUCACCAAGGCGACGACGGGUAGCCGGCCUGAGAGGGCGACCGGCCACACUGGGACUGAGACACGGCCCAGACUCCUACGGGAGGCAGCAGUGGGGAAUAUUGCACAAUGGGCGAAAGCCUGAUGCAGCGACGCCGCGUGAGGGAUGACGGCCUUCGGGUUGUAAACCUCUUUCAGCAGGGAAGAAGCGAAAGUGACGGUACCGGCAGAAGAAGCACCGGCUAACUACGU